ACGGUGCCUACGCCGGGGACACUGCCCCAACCCCGUAGCUCAGGCUUCAGUGGAUGCUCACGCCGUCUGCCUUCAUUUCGCAGCCACGAGGCCGACGCCGCGUUGCGUGCGGAGUCGGAUGGGACCUGGCGCGCUGCGGACUCGGCGACCCGCAGACCCGCUGCCUGUGAGCUGGCCGAGACCUUCGGAGGACGCUUCCUGGAGGAGGCCGGAACAUGGAGGAGGGAGUGGGAACAGCUUUCAGGAGCCAGGACAGGAUGCCCGGAGCCCUGACAGGAUGACAGUGGCCACUUCAUGCCAGGGUGUCCCAGCCUGGCCCGCUUCUCUGCUGCUCGGUUUUUAUGGUUGUGUGUGACAGCAGGAUCUCUAAGUUCCCAGCCUUAGACUGAAUGUGGAAGCUGCAAAAAUAAUUUGGUAGAAGCAAAAGGCUUUUGAACAGCUCAGAAAACACUUCGUGAAGACACCCUGCAGACUGCGCUGUCAACUGUAUGUAACAAUAAGCACACGCGGCUCAUUGAUAUGUCAUUUUCUUUCAUACUUAAUAGUAAAGUUAUGUUGCCAAUGUAUUCUUUUAAAAUAAAUUUCUUUAUGAUUUCUUACCCAU
rnacentral:lncRNA from 1 species